UACGUAGGUGGCAAGCGUUGUCCGGAUUUAUUGGGUUUAAAGGGUGCGUAGGCGGUCUUUUAAGUCAGUGCUGAAAUAUCCCGGCUUAACCGGGAGGGUGGCAUUGAUACUGAAGGACUUGAGUACAGUCGAGGUAGGCGGAAUUGACGGUGUAGCGGUGAAAUGCUUAGAUAUCGUCAAGAACACCGAUAGUGUAGACAGCUUACUAGGCUGAAACUGACGCUGAGGCACGAAAGCGUGGGGAGCAAACAGG
rnacentral:rRNA from 1 species